rfam:Gymnopus luxurians FD-317 M1 unplaced genomic scaffold GYMLTscaffold_4, whole genome shotgun sequence.
UCCAAUGUGGUGUAGUGGCUAACAUUGCUGUCUUUCAUGGAUGCUCAUGAAGCAUGCUCACAGCAGCCCGGGGUUCGAUUCCCCGCAUUGGAA